GAUGUCCACGAGAGAGUGGUGUAUCCGGCUUCUUUUGCUGGCGACCCAACUAUUCAGCGUGCUCUUCUUACUCGUGGCCACUGAGCCCAGCUGCGACAACUGCCAAAAUUGCGGGAAACCAAAUUGUGGCCGGAAGUGAAUCAUUUCAUUUGACCUGCCCACAUCUGAGGAAUGGAACUUGCAAGAAUGUCAGAGUAAACAGAAAUACCUAAACUUUGGAACAAGAAAAUAAAAUGAGGAGAAGGAUCUGAUGAACCAGUUUCUGCAGUGCAACUCCCUAGUUCUUGGUAGCAUUUAUUAUUUUAAUAAAAGCAUAAGUUCAAUCGUUGUUCUUCGUGUGUAUCUAGGAACAAACAAGUGCCAAAGGUCUCAAUUUAAUAGAUCCAUGUAAAUCUAAAUUAUCACCCCCAAAAUACCUCCAUGAAUAAAACUAUCGAAAUAUA